ensembl:lncRNA
UAUUGUGAUAGGCAAGCCAACAGAUCAAAAAAAUCUGGCCCCCCAAUGACCAGACUGGACGUCGGACGUCGGCCACCGGGUAAUUUGAGUUUGAGACCCCUGAGUGUAAGGUGUGUCUGUGUGUAAGGUGUAUGUGAGGUGUGUGUGAGGUGUGUCUGUGUGUAAGGUGUGUGUGAGGUGUGUGAUCAUUCAUUUUGUGCAGCGGUCAUUAUAAAGAAAUAUCAGACCACCGAACAGUGGGCUUGGCCAUUCAAUUCAAACAUUUGUUUAUGAUAGAGGUUUAUUGUGGUCAAGCCCUGCUCCUCGCUGUGGGAAACCCCAUUAUCCUCAGGACAGACCUUACCUGGGGAAGGUGAGCACAGGUGUG